rfam:Cyphomyrmex costatus contig24280, whole genome shotgun sequence.
AGCCCAUUAGCUCAGUUGGUUGGAGCAUCGCACUGAUAUGAAAUGCGAAGGACGAGGGUUCGAUCCCCUCAUGGGCUA